AUUCAAGGGUGUGGCGCGAGCGACUUCGGUCGCGAAGCAAUUGGAAGUGGUUCCAAGAAAAGCCUCUAAGCUUCAGUCUAACGAUGACCGUACCGCAAACCGACACAGGUGGGCGAGAUGAGUAUUCUAAGGCGCUUGAGAGAACUCGGGAGAAGGAACUCGGCAAAUUGGUACCGUAACUUCGGGAUAAGGUACGCCCUUGUAGCUUGACUGGCCUGCGCCAGGAGGGUGAAGGGGUUGCAAUAAACUGGUGGCUGCGACUGUUUAAUAAAAACACAGCACUCUGCAAACACGAAAGUGGACGUAUAGGGUGUGACGCCUGCCCGGUGCCGGAAGAUUAAAUGAUGGGGUGCAAGCUCUUGAUUGAAGUCCCGGUAAACGGCGGCCGUAACUAUAACGGUCCUAAGGUAGCGAAAUUCCUUGUCGGGUAAGUUCCGACCUGCACGAAUGGCGUAACGAUGGCCACACUGUCUCCUCCCGAGACUCAGCGAAGUUGAAGUGUUUGUGAUGAUGCAAUCUACCCGCGGCUAGACGGAAAGACCCCAUGAACCUUUACUGUAGCUUUGCAUUGGACUUUGAACCGAUCUGUGUAGGAUAGGUGGGAGGCUAUGAAACCGGAACGCUAGUUUCGGUGGAGCCGUCCUUGAAAUACCACCCUGGUUUGUUUGAGGUUCUAACCUUGGUCCGUGAUCCGGAUCGGGGACAGUGCAUGGUAGGCAGUUUGACUGGGGCGGUCUCCUCCCAAAGGGUAACGGAGGAGUACGAAGGUACGCUAGGUACGGUCGGAAAUCGUGCUGAUAGUGCAAUGGCAUAAGCGUGCUUAACUGCGAGACCGACAAGUCGAGCAGGUGCGAAAGCAGGUCAUAGUGAUCCGGUGGUUCUGUAUGGAAGGGCCAUCGCUCAACGGAUAAAAGGUACUCUGGGGAUAACAGGCUGAUACCGCCCAAGAGUUCAUAUCGACGGCGGUGUUUGGCACCUCGAUGUCGGCUCAUCUCAUCCUGGGGCUGUAGCCGGUCCCAAGGGUAUGGCUGUUCGCCAUUUAAAGAGGUACGUGAGCUGGGUUUAAAACGUCGUGAGACAGUUUGGUCCCUAUCUGCCGUGGGCGUUGGAUAUUUGAAGGGGGCUGCUCCUAGUACGAGAGGACCGGAGUGGACGAACCUCUGGUGUACCGGUUGUGACGCCAGUCGCAUCGCCGGGUAGCUAUGUUCGGAAGAGAUAACCGCUGAAAGCAUCUAAGCGGGAAACUCGCCUUAAGAUGAGAUAUCCCUGGAGGCUUGACCUCCUUGAAGGGUCGUUCGAGACCAGGACGUUGAUAGGUCGGGUGUGUAAGCGCAGUAAUGCGUUCAGCUAACCGAUACUAAUUGCCCGUAAGGCUUGAUCCU
rnacentral:rRNA from 1 species